GAAAAAAGUACUAGACCAGGUAAGUUGAAGUUAACAAAGACAAGAUAAAAGGUCAUUUAUACAAAAAUAAAUUUUUAUUUCUAUUAAUUGGCAACCUACAAUAUAAGAAUAAAAAUGUAAAAGCCACAAUACCACUGACAAUACCACGUUAGAGGUAUUUCUAACUAUAAAGAGAAAGAUCAUGAAUUUGAAAGUGAAAAGACUAACCAGAGAGGAGCAAAUACGUUUUCAGAUGAGAAAGAAUUGAAAUGUGGAAUGCAAUACUUUCAAUGUGUACAAUCCACAAAUGACUGUCAUUGAUAACAGAAAGAAUCAUUUUUAGGUGUCACUUUAGUGUGGCCAUCCAUGAUCACUAGCCUUAAAAUUCAAGUGUAUGAAAAUAAACUAUGAGGGGCCACUUAUGAAAGACUGGAAGCAGAGUUAGCUGGCACUGUGACUUGGGAAGCAGUUUGGCAUUAUUCUUACUGUCAGAUGUGCACGCUCCCAGUGACCCAGAAACUCCACUCCCAAGCUGAUAAACUCUAGAAACACUUUUGCCCACUUUCAUAAUGAAGAUUAUAUACAAUGGUAUCAUGUAUAAGAACAAAAUAAUUAAAUAAAAAUAAAUUGCAGUAGAGUCAUGCAGUGGUGUAUAUGAUGAAGUGCUUGCAAUAACAAGGAUUAAUGCAAGUUUCUCAACUUUGACAUUGGCAUUUUGGGCUGGCUAACACUUUGUUGUAGAGGGCUGUCCUGUGUAUUGGGGAGUUAAUCAGCAUCUCCAACUUCUCAGGGAAAGGCCAGCAGCAUUCUCACAUAGAGACAGUUGAAAACAUAUAGAUGUUGCCAAAUGUCUCUGGGGAGGCAAAGACACCUCUGCUUGAGAACCUCUGAUGCAAAGUGAAAAAUCAACCAUAGAAAUCUAUAAAGUAGAAUAAUACUGUACUAAUAAUGCAUAGAAAAAAUAAAAAGUAAAAUUCUCCUGUUGUCUCAACAUGUCACAAUUGUGUAAAUUGUACAUUCACACAUGUGUUUGUGUAUGUUUGAUAUGUAUAUACAUAUCAAAUACAUACCUUCUCAGGACAGGCAUAUUUAAAGUCAAGAGAAUUAUGAGCUCCACAUCUGGAUGGGUGCUCACUUGGGGUUGGGAGAAAAUGCAGGAGGAUGAACAGGUGGGGUGUACUCAGAGUUAGUGUUCUGAUCAUGAUCUUUGGCAAAUUGUAGCUUUGGGGACUUGGCUUUGCUUGGUUGUUUUUCUGGUAGUCCUUCUCAGAUAAUGUGGUGACUCUGGGGAUUGAACUGGAAACACAAUCAUCUAUGCUGGCCUUACACCUGGCCAGGCUGGAAUAGAGGGUGUUCCUAUGUUAGGCUUUUCAUUUCGGACUUCAUCAGAGAGUGGUGUUUUCAUAUUUUCAAAAGGUAAGCACUAAUAUGCACAUGUUUAUGAAGCUUCUGCUUCUGCCAUAUUUGCCAGUAUCACCUUGGACAAAGGGCAAUAUUUCAGUAAGUAUUUUCUUUUUCUUUUUCCACUGCAACCAAAAUACCUGAAAAGAACAAUUAGAGGAGGAAAAGUUUAUUUUGAGAUUCAUGGUUUCAGAGUUCUCAGUCCAUAAAUGGCCAACUCUGUGGCAGAACAUCAUGGCAGAAAGGUGUGGAGGAGGAAAGCAGCUCAGAUCAUGAAACUCAGAAAGCAGAGGGAGAGAGCCCUGCUCUCCAGGAACAAAAUAUAUACCCCAAAGUCAUACCCAUUGCGACCUACCUUCUCCAGCCAACACUCCCUGCCUACAGCUAUCACCCAGUUAAUACAUUCAGGUGGAUUAAUGCACUGAUUAGGGUAAGGCUCCCACAACCCAAAUCAUUUCACCUCUAAACUUUCUUUCAUUGCCUCCCAUGUGAGCUUUUGUGGGACACAUCAUAGUAAAUCAUAACAGAAGCCCCUUGGCUAGGUCAGAAUCAGUAUAUGAGGGGCUCACACAAGGUUGUGUAUCUUGGGUGUUAUGGAUAACUGAGGGCCAUUAAUGUAGCAGUUUAUCAAAAUAAUCUUGAGGAACUUUGGCUCAGCUGCACUGUAAUCAUUUAUGGUAAUAGCUUUUUCAUAUUUGGUAUGGCAGAAAAAUAGAAGUAAAAUUGCAUCUCACACAUUGCCUUUCUUCAUCAUUAGUUAUAACAAACAAGAGGUAGCAUUAGAUAUUUAAAUAUUUGUUGCAUCCUUUCUUUUUGAUCUCUCCAUGGUUCAUACAGAAGCUUCUAAAGAUCAAGUGGAGCCAGAGUGACAAUAUAUCAGAAAUCAAGAGGUCUCCAUUGUACAGUUUUCUAAAGGGCCUAUUUGACCCAAGAGAUGUGUGCUAAGUUCAGAGGUAUGCAGGAGGUUCAGGAGCCUGGCUUUCAAUCUUGAAAUCUGAGAAAAUAUUCCUAUAAUUUUGUGCUGCUUUGGCUCCAAGGAACCACUUUGGAGGAGACCCUGGUUCAACCACAAUACCAGGCUUCCUCUUUAUAAUUUUGCGUCACAUUGAAACUGUGCAAGUUAGGAGACUGAAGAAACUUGGAGUGGGAAUCUUAAGUACAGAAUUGGUCUUAGGUAGCACGUCAAGGCUGAGGACAUGACUGUAAUUCAGAAGACAGGGAGCCCACAUCUGAGGAUGAAGGUGGCAAAGGUACACUGAAUCUAACAGCUCAGCCUAAUUUUCUUGAUUUCUUAAUGGGACUGAAAUAAUAGCCUUGUCAUUUAUUUAUUAAAGAGAGGAAUAGAGAAGCCAUCUCUUGUGGGUUAUCAUACUAUCUGGAACAUUUGAAGUCUUUUAAUAUACAAUAUCUAAUAAUAACCAUACAUGGGUGAGACAAAAAAUGAUGAUAGAUAGCAAGAGGGAAAGAAAUACAGGCAGAUCUCCAAGGGGCCCUGAUAUUGAAAUUGUUCUUUAACAUGACCAUGGUUAAUGUGUUGAAGAUGGUAGAUGAAAACAUAGUCAGAGGAGGUAGAAUGACCUACAAUGUCAUUAGGAAAUUUGAGUCCAUGUUAAAAAUCAAGAGAAUAUUAUAGAAUGGACAUAUAAUAUGUAGGAAAUCAAGAAUUAAGAAAAUGAGUUUUAAUCGCUGAUUUGAUAUAGCAGAGCUUAGAAUUACUGAAGUAGAAGACAAAUCAAUAGCAAAUAUCCAAACUGAAAUAAAGAGAAAAUGCAUUUAGCUACAUAAAAGAAAUCUGUGAUACACAUUCAAAAGUUAACAUGCAAAAUUUGAGUCCUAAAAAAGUGAAAUAGAAAUGGCAAAGAUAACAUUAAAAGAGAAUGAUCAAAAAUUUCAAUAAAUUGAUGAAAGGCAUUAACCCAGAGAUUCAGAAAAUUCUGCAAAAUCCACACCUAAGCACAUACUAGUAAAAUUACUUAUAACCAAAGCUUCAAGGGAAAUAUUGAGAGUAGACAGUGAGAAAAGGCACAGUACACUGAAAGAACACAGUGACAACUCACUGCUGACAACUUACAAAUCCAGGAGUCAAUGGAAUAACAUUUUUUUUAAGUGUUAGGGUUUUAUAUCCACCAAAAUUUCUCCCAAAGCAAAGGUGAAAUAAAUGAUUGCUGACAAAAAGAAACUCAAGAAAUUGAUUGCUAUCAUUCUUAUACUAAAAUAAAUACUGAAGAGAAUUCUUGGGACAAGAAUAAUGGGUGUCUGAGGUUGGGCCCUGCUUACAAGUUCCCUCUGUCAAGUGCAAGGCCUUUGGGUCAAAGACAAAAGCAGCCAGAGGAAUAUGUAGUGCUUCCAAGAGACCCAGUUCCCCCAGGACAAUGCAAUAAGUACUGAAGACAGUGCAGUGCUGGUAGGAUCACUGCUGGUAUAGAUUGAUGGAAAGGGAGAGUCCAGAGGAACCCUUUAUAUUUAUGGUCUGUUGAUAUUUAACAACAUUGCCAAGACAAUUCACUAGAGGAAAAAAAGACUCUUUUCCACAGAUGGUGCUGUGACAAUAGUUAUCCAUGUUCACAAAUACAGAGUUGGACUCCUUCUCACAACAGGUACAAAUAUUAACUCAAAAUGGAUCAAAUACUUAAAUUUAAAUAUAAAAAAUAUUUUUUACACUGAGUUAGGCAAUGCCUUGAUGGUGGCACAGCCUUUUCCCCCUGCAGCAGGAGUCACCUUCAUCCCUCAGUUGUGAAAAGCCAAGUGCAUCCCCAGUGGAGGGUGCAUAUGGGACCAAGGGUUCAAAGCUUCCAGUUUCUGUUGCCCUGCCAGACCUUGUGAUACACAGAUGAUACACAGUCCAGCAGCCUAAUGGUCUGUGGAGCAAAGUGAAGCAUUUAAUAUUCAGUUUAGCUAUUGCUGAGUGAUCACCCAAGUGAUGUUUGAGACUGACAUCCCACAGUAGGAGCAAAAAAUGUUGGAGAAAUGGAAACAGUCUAUUUCAGAAAGCCAGGCACAUCCUGAUCUCAGUAUUGUGUGGUCUGUCCCUGUAUGUCUGUUUGUAAUAAAACAUUCUUUAUCAAAAGCUAUUCUUGCAGUGUUUUUUCUGUUAAUAAAAAUGAUACACAUUCUAAAAGAAAUUUUUAGAAAAUAUGAAUAGAAAAAAUACCUCAUAAUCUUACUGCUCAACAAUACACAUUUCUAAGAUUUUGGGUGCAUUUCUUCAUAUGUAUAUGGGGAGAUAAAUAUAUGGAUUUUACCAUUUAAUAUUUCAAAUACACAAUUUGUUUAUUAUUUUUUUUAAUAAAGAACACCUUUAUUGAUUUCCUGAUCAGGAUACCUUGAAUUUCCCUGUCUAAUCCAUCCUGACAUUUUCUCCCAGAAUAUAACCACUAACCUGAAUUUAAUCUUCCUUAUUCCUGUAUUUCCCUUUAGACUCUAUUGUGUAUGUAUGCAUUCCUAAACAGUCCAGAGACUUAUUUUGUGUAUUUUAAACAAUUUAUAAAUAGGGUUAUAAUGUCCACAGCCCAGUUGUGCCAGGGCAGUGGAAUAGGUUGCUGAACAACCAGGAAGAGACCUAGAGAUGGUGAGUGAGAUGUAGGGAAAAUGCUUUGGGGGAAGGUCCAGUGGUGACAGGCUGAAUGGGAGGCUUUACUAGAGUCCAGUAGUGAAGGCUGGACCUUCUUCCCUCAUAGUGCUUCACCAAGGAGCACCUCCUGUCCCUCACAAUGCCACCCCAGAAAAGAAUGUCUCCUAUUCCUAUGGCGUUUGUCUUGUGGUGGCCAGCUGAAUGAAAGACACCUAUCCUUUCUGCAGUGCCCUCAGUUCAGCUCCAGUCACUGUAUGGAGGGAGGUUUUGUAGGUUAGGCUGCAGAAGCAGUGACAUCGUUGAUACCUGCUUCCCCACAUGUAGAAGUUUGAACAUUAGAGAGGCAUGCUGAGGCAAGCAUACAAAGCAGGGUUUAUUUAAAAAGGGGUAACAUAGACUUCUCCUGGGAAGAAGAAGGGGGCCAUAGCUGGUAUCAUGGUAUCCCAAGAAGCGAGGUGUUCUGCCCUUUUUAUAUGUCCUAGGAUUCCUUUGUUCUCCUGCCUUUCCCCCCUUGUCCUUCUCCUUUCUGUGUAUGUGACUAGGCUCAGGAAUGCUGUAGGGAUGGCCAAAAGGUGGGAAACAGGUGGGCUGAAGGGGGAAUGGCAGGGUGGAGUAGCCAAGGACACAUUAACAACCUUAUAGCUCCCUGUAGGGACAGGUUACCUUGGCAACAAGUUGGAGCAGGGGCAGGUUCUUGAUAGGAUCCCUCAGGGGACAGUCUCCAACUUCCCAGACUCACUCAAAAUUGGCCUCCUAUAUCUGACCUGACUCAAUUUCCCUAUCUACACUGACUGCCUGUCUAAUUCUGACUUCAUCGUCAGUAUUAGCUUGCUUUGUUCUUUAUAUGACCAACAUCCCAAGGAGAAGUUGUCCUGUCAUGCAUGCAAAAAAGUGGCUUUCUACAGAUAAUACUAACAUGUCCCAGGUCCCAGCAUACAUGAGAGAAUGCCAGUGUCCUUAAAAAUAGCGGUAUCUGGACAUUCUGACUCAGGCCUGCUCUCCAUGUUCCCUUAACUUAGCCUGGUUCCUGGGACCUUAAAGGAGCGUUCCAANUCCACUAAAUGGAUAUACCAACAUGUAAUUUAGUCAAGUUCAAUUUGCAUCUGAGUUUUUUUGCUAGUUGAAAUAGUGCUGCUGCACAUGCAACUUUUAUGUCUUUUUGUGACCUGGGCACCAGAGUAGAUGUCUUGCUGAGUCACAGUGUAAGUAAUCCAUUCCAGUCCCUCCUUUAAGUGAUGUGAGAAAGAAUACAGCCUUCAUUCAGCUGGGCCAAAGAUUUGUCAUUUCUCCAGUUCUUCAGCAAUAAUUAUUGGUUUGACAGUCUGUGUCUCUCAUCUUGCAGUCACACCUAUGAAACCCUGUGCACACCUAGUUCAUAUUUCUCAUAAUUUAUAAGUAAACACAAAAAAUUGUCUUACUUUGGAGUGAGUGUAUGGGGGAGGGUGUGCUCCUGUGCACAUGUGCACAUGUGUAUGUAUCAAAGGGAAAAAAGUUGAGUAAGUUGUAAUCUUAAAAGUAAAGGUAGAAAUUUUCCUAGAAAAGUUUUGAUUUCCUAUUUUGUGUAAUGAGUAGUAUGCUGCAUAGUACCCAAAGUUGGUUUUAAAAAAUAUUUCCAUUAACUAUUUUCAUUUAAAACGAACAUUUGAAAAAAAAAUAAAAUGAGCAUUUGAGAGAAAUUACCAGGGCAGCUCUUUUCCUUAGAAAUAACCUAUUCAUCUUUGAAAUAACAACUGGGAAUUUUUUUCUUUUCCAGGAAAUUCCAGUGGUGACUUUGCAUUAAAAAAUUAAGUACAUAAGAUUGAGGCCUUGGGGUGGGGUUGAUAUUACCAAAGGCUACAAAAAAAUUUAGAUUAAUAUUAUAUGUUAUGUUUUAUGACAAAGAACUCAUUGUUUCUGUUCUGUUUUUUUUUUUAACGAAUAAAUGUUUUCUUGAAAGGUGUUUAAUAUUUUCCCCUCAUUGCUGAUCCUUGGAUGGAAACCAUUCUUUAUAUUUGAUGAACUGUUUUCAAAAAACUCUCUUACCAACAAGUGUACAGUAGUUAUCUAAAAUUGUACAUUUAGAAUGGAGUAGUGAGUGUAAUAUCUUAGUCUCAGAAGUCUUAAAAACAGCAAAAAAGACUGAAUUUACAAAGUAUGGUCUGGAAUUGCUUGUGAGAUUCUAAAGUAAUGAAAAUAAAUGUUUCAGCUUUAGAUUAUAAAACUCCAUUUAUGAUUUUAAAAGUAUACUUGAAAUAAAAAUGAUUAAACUAAAACAAAACAAAAAACAGUGCGACAGCCAAACCUAUUCACAUUACACAAAUGAAGUUAGAAAAGGGAAAUAGAGAAACCAGAAACAUAUGGCACAAAUGGGAAACAAAUAAUAAGUAGCUAAAUCCAAAUAGAUCAAUGAUUUUAUUAAAUGCAAAUGUCUAAGCACAUUAGUCAAAACACAGACUGGCAGAUUGCUUUUAAAGAUAAUAGAAGGGAGACCAGUACAGUAGAGGAAAGGGAGCAGGAGGAAGGGAUGGAAAGGGGAGAUGCUGGGAAAUAAAAUUGAUCAAACAGAUACAUAGCGAUGAAAUCCACUAUUAUGUUUAAUUAUAACACAUCAAAAAAAAUGAAGUUCCUAGAAUUAGAAUUGUUGGCCAAAGAAAAACACAAAUAAAAAAUUUAAAAAACAACAAAACCUGCCUAAGCAAAAAUAAAAUAUACACAAUUAAAAAACCCACAAAAAUGGGACUGGGGCUGUAGCUCAGUGGUAAAGCGCUUGCCUCGCAAGUGUGAGACACUGGGUUCGAUCCUCAGCACCACAUAAAAAAACAAAGCUACUAUAUGUGCUCAUCUACAACUCAAUAAAUACUUUAAAAAAAACACAAAACUAUAUAUUAUUGCUUUACUAUAGUAACAGUGAGAACCUAACUCUACAUAUAGAGAAUAUCCAUGUACAAAGAAUGUCAGAAUUACUUUUAAGAAUAACAAUUUUAAAUGCUCUAGAAGAAGCUGGAAGAAAACAUACCAUGCAAACACUAAUGAAAAGAAAACUGAACCAUCUAUAUGAAUGGUACACACAUAGACAUCAGAACAAAGAACACCACCAGGGAGAAUGAGGGGCAUUCCAUGAUGAGGUAAGAGUCAUUUUAUGAGAAGACACAAUAAUCCUAAAUGUGCAAUGUCAGAGCUUGAAAAUCAGGAAGAGAAAAUUGAAAGAACUUGAAGAAGAAUGUGACAAAUUCAUAAGAGAAAAUGAAGAUUUUGAUCCUGUUCUCCAAGUCAUCAAUCAAACUGAUAGAAAAUCAUCAAGGGUAGUGACAAGAACAAUACCAGGAGCCAAGUGCACAGACUGGACUUUCAUAGACCCUCCACUCAAUGCACAGGGUACAUGUCCUUGCCAAGUGAACCAGAACAGAUCACAUCUUGCAUUUCAGAUCAAAUCUUAGUAGGUUUAAAUAAAUGAAAGUCACAUAAAACACUUUAUAUGGUUUGAUAUUAAUGUAGAAAUCACUAAGAGAAAGAUAACAAUGAAUUCUUUAAACACAUAUUGACCAGCCCAAUUCUAAAUGGCCCAUGGAAUUCUCAUGGAAAUUUAGAAAAUAUUUUCAACUAAACAAAAUAUCAAACUCUGAGUUACAGAUGAAGGCAGUGAUUAGAAGGAAAUGUAUAGUACUGAAAUGCCCACAUUAUGAAAAAGAUAACUCAAUUAAUUAAUAAAAUCUCAAAAACAUAACUCAAUUAACUCUUUGCUCUGAGAAAUUAGACAUCAAAGACCAAAAAUUAAACCCAAAGCAAGUAGGAAGAAAGAAACAUUAAAGAUAAUAACACAGCAAUAAAAUUAAAAACAGCAAAGAAAGAUCAAUGACACCAAAAGGUAGUUCUUUAAAAAUAUCAAUAUACUGAUAAAUCUCUGGAAGAUUUAUCAGUGCAAGAAACAAAUAACCACAGAGUAGUGACCCUCACCAACUGUGUGCACUCACACCUUCUACAGAGCCAAAGAGAAAAUACAGGGAUGGGACUCCACAUUUUGGGAUAUAGCUUCAUAGCAUGAUUGUACUAUAAAAAAAAAACCCACACAUUUAGAUAUUUGAAAAACAUUCUCUGACAAGAUUGGAAAACUCUCUGAACCUUCAUGGAGACAAAAGAUGUAAGCUCAAGAAACUACCUGUACUCUGCCACCAGGAAUUCGCACCCCUGCAAGACACAAGCAGUUAUUUCCCAGAGAGGGACAGGGCCACAGACUUUCACAAGUGUCAGGCCUCACAAGUUCACAAGUCCCUGGCAAUCCCUGGUGUCUAUGCCUCCUCAGGCACACAGCCUGGCUGAAGCUGCCCCUUGGUGAAGCUCUCAGGGAAUGAGUUCCUCAGGGACCCAACAUCCCAUCUCUUCUUCAUUUUAAGACCCUUGUAAUGACGUUGGACCCACCAGAAUAACUGAUAAGUUAUGAAUAACGUUUAUUUUUGAUGAAUGGAAAAGAAACGUAUGAUUUGAAAUUAUGGCCAUUAAUAUCUCUAAACCAUGAUUCUGUCCAUGGGCACAAUAACUAAAGGAUUGCCACAGCUGGCCCACCUGAUGUGCCUCUCCUCAAAUUCAUAUGUUGAAGUCCUAGCCUCCAGGACCUCAUAAUGCAAUGAUAUAUGGAGACAGAACCUUUAAAGAGGGAAGCUGAAGCUCUUUCAGUGGUCCCUAAUCCAGUCUGGCUGGUAUCACUUUAAGAAGAGGAGAUUAGGACCCAGACACUCACAGAGAGACCACCAUGUGAGCACCUAGGAAGAAGACAGCCAUGGAGAGAGGCCUCAAGAGAAACCAUGCUGCUGACACCUGGAUCUCAGAUUUGCAACAUCUAGAGUUGUGAGGCAAUAAACUUCUGCUGUUUGAGUCACUCAAUCUCUGGUGCUUUGUUACAGGCAGCCCUAACAAACUACAAUAGCACCAAUUUCUGGAAACCUGAUCCCUGUUCUAAGAGCAGCCUAUAUACGUUUUUGCCCAUCCCCAUCAGGGAAUGGCAGGGAGUUUCAUAAGAAGAAAAUCUCCAGUCACCAUGCCCAGCCUCACUUGUUCUUAGAGGUCACCAUGCUGUUCCCUCUAGAUGUGUGAAGGGGGAAAAAAGGGUGGGACUAAGGUGACACCUUCCCCAGAGGACAGACUUGGGAUGGCCAGUCCUUCCUCUGGAAUCUCCUACUCCAGCUAGGGAAUGAAGGAUUCCAUCUCUCUGGGUCUUAGAAUGUGGGUAUUUGAGGCAAGAGUGUGCAUCAGGAGUCCUCUCCUCUUCAUCCUGGAGUGGGAAGAGAUUACUUCUAAGGUGCUUCCAGUCAUCAGAGAAGUGUAGACUGCUGCUCAGUUAUUGACAGAUUCUCAUUCUGCAUCAUAAGUCAUAUGUUUCAGUACUCAAAUUUCAGGAUGGCUGAGAUAACAGAGAAGCAUCCAGCAGGUGGGAUACAGUGGUGCUUUUGGUCAAGGCACCUCCAUGACCAUGACCUGGCUCCCAGAUCUGCAGGCUGGUGCAGUUGUAUGCUCUGAGCCUGGAGCUGGUGAGACCAUCAUUAAGUCAAUAGAUGCCCCUAGCAGAUCCUUGGCCAGAGCAGGAAGGUGGGCUCCCAUCAAAUGGCUGCCCAGAAAUGCAGCAGGGCUUCCUGCCCACUGCACUGCCCACAAUAAUUUCAGGGUUUAAGUGUGAGGCUUUGAUCCCAGCUCUGUAUCUGUCCUUAUUCAGCACAAUGACCAAGUUGAUGACUUUAUAGCAGAGUAGCUUGGUUGGCCUAGGUCAUCCUGUGAAGCAAGGUUUGUGUUUGUCCCUUCACUGCAGAGAGGAAAAGACCCAUGCAAGCCCUGGCUUCACUCCUUUCUCUUCUGCUCCCUGGGGGUCAGUUUCCUGAUAAACAAAGGUUUGCUCUUGAUUUAUUUUCCUUCUUCUCAUUAUAUUUCAGGUUAUUUCUCCCAUGUGCACUUAUAUAAAGAUGCCAGCUUUGUUUUAGGAGGAAUACAGUGGUCCCCCUCCCCAUCUGCAAGGAUGUACUUCAAGACCAUUUGUAGAUGUCUGAAACUGCAGGUAAUACUAUCUUCCACAUAUACUGUGUUUGUUCCUCCACAUACACACCUAGGUGUCCAGAGCUAGAAGAAGAUAUUGCCUCAAUUAACCUGUUAGUAGAUGAGCCUCAAUUAACCUAUUCCUGGUGCUCUACUUUGCCCUUUGUUUAUCUUGAAGAAGUUUUUCUCUUACAAUAAAUCUCUGUGAUGUGCUUUCCUAUAAAUAAAAGGUGUUGGGCUUUUCUUCUUUGUUAAGAGAUCAGACUCUUAAGAUCUGAUCCACCUACCAUGCUCCCACUGUUAAACUAUUUUCAUGUUUUUGUUUUUAUUUCUAAACAUUUCUUUAGACCUUUAAUUUUCUCAACCAGUUCACACCUCCAUUUGGUUUACUGAUCCCUUGCUGUGUGGGACACAGCAAACUUUUCCUGGGUAAAGUUUAAUUUGUAAAUGAGACACAGAGAGAAACAAUGCUAAUAAAAUAGAACAAUUAUAAUAGCACACAGUAAUAAGAGUUAUGCAAACUAUAUGAAUUGUUUAUUUCUGGAAUUUUCCAUAUAUUAUAUUUGGACUAUAGUUGACUGGGUACUUGUAACCACAGAAAGCAAAACCAAGGAUAAGGGAGAACUACUUGAUAUAAAUUGAAUCCUAUACCUAUACAAAAUGUUCAACUCGUCUUGAAUCAUUUUAGUUUAUAAAGCAGUUUUCUGUUAUGAAAUCAGUGAAAGUUUCUUGUUCUAAAAAUUAUUUGUAGCUCCUCCAACCAGCCUCCAACCUUUUUAUUUGUGUAGUGUAUUGUCUCUGUAACCCUUUCCUCUUUUACAUCUGAAAAACAGCUACUAGUCCUUCCUGGCUCAGCACAGACACCCUCUCCUUGGAAGCCCCCACAGCCUGCACCCAGCAGCCCUGGUUCCACCUUGUCCUCUCCUUCCACUUUCUUCACAUUCCACUUCUGCCCUGGCCACUGACCCAGGCUUUGUUUUGUAGCUGUUUCUCCAGAGGAUGUUAUGAAAAACAUUUUCUGUAAGGAUAGUAUGAUAUAUGUACUUUGUUAAUGUCUGUGAGAACCUUGGGAGAGAAGAGACACAUGUGGAUUCUCUGCCUUCCAGGUUAAGGCCAAUCAAACUCCCUCAGCACACAGCAAGAACCAAGGACAAACAUGAGGGGCUGACACACCAGGAUGUCUCCUCCUAUCUUGUAGUUCCACGAAGUCAGGAGACUGUCUCGUGCAUCCAAAAACCAUCCUGCAAAGAAGAAGGAAAAGCACUAAGAAAUCUGAGCAUUCAACCCUCCAGAAGAGGCAACUGAGUCCAGCAGAGCCUGGAUUCUGGGAGUGAUUCUAUAAUUUGGCAUAGUUGUUAGACAAACAUCACACCCAACACUGCUUCCCUGAAGGUUGCUGACAACACUAAAAACAAAUAUGGCUGGUUAUUUAUGUUUGUCUCAUCUGUUAACUUUGGCUUAAUGGAGAAUAUGGAUGCUCUGAAGCUAGUGAGGGAGCAGGAAAGAACAAGAGCAUUUCCCUUCCAUGCUGUAUCUCCAGGACAUUCUGUCCAAACUUUGUUGUUUCAGAGCUUUACCCCCAGGUGCUACUCUAUCGCUUUUCAUAAAAACUGACUAAAUAAAGUUACAUGGCUUCCAAGAGAGGCCUCUGUGCACCAGCACAUGGACAUAUUUAACAUACACUCUUUUAACCUUUAGCCUGUCUACAGCACUUCACACAUGUAGUGCAUCUGAAGGGUUUAAAAAAUUUUUUUUCAGGAAAAAAAAAUGGUAGCUUCAAAUAGAACAUUACUUGGCCCUCAUAGGUCUAAAAUUUUUAGGAAGAACAAAUAAAUGUUUGUAUAUAUCAAACAUUUACAAAAACAAAAAUUUCCCUGUAUUUUAUUUGCCUUUAUACAAAUCUGGUUUGCAAGUCCCUUUACCGUGAUUUGAAUUGACCCAUUGGAUGGAACACAGGCCAAUUCCACCAGACUCCUGCCUAUGCCUAACAAUGGAAUUACAAAAAAAAUAAAAAAUAAAAUAAACAAACCAAAAAACCAAAAAACAAAAACCUAGAUUCUGUGGGAAAAAAAAAAUGUAAGGGAAAGAUUUGCAUUGAACAUCUAUGAUGAUACUGCUGAUUUAUAGCAGGAGUUUAGAUAUUUUAAAUUAUUUAUUUCAAGUUUUUAAAAAACAUUUCUUGAAUUCAGUGAAUUUUAUAUAAUAUACUAUUUGGGAAAUUUCAGAGUUCACAUAAUCAGAGUCCCAUGUUGUAAGAAGCCAUGUGAUACCUUAAGGACAAAUCUAAACAUUUCUCCCAAUCUAAUCACUUUUAUGUAUUUAUCUUGCUGAUGCCUAUAAUAUAAAUUUAUACUAAUAACUAUAUGAGAAUGAGAGACAAGUAUCUUAAUGCUAAAAUAAUUACAGUAUUAAAAGUAUUAGGCAAAUUAUUUCCUGGUUCCAACAACAGAUGAGGACAGUCUUCAUGAUCUGAGGAAAUAUGCUCGAUUGCUCGGUGCUGAAAAGGCUGAGAAUUACAGAGAAAAAAAAUAAACAAUUCAAUCAGUUCCAUUUGUCUCCAUCUACUUUAUGUUGUGUCAUAAAUAAUGUUUUUUUUUUUAACUGGGAAUUGAAUUUAGGUGCACUCAACCACUGAGACACAUCCCCAGCCCUAUUUUGUACUUUAUUUGGAAAUAGCGUCUCAGUGAGUUGCUUAGCACCUUGCUUUUGCUGAGGCUGCUUUGAACUUGAGAUCCUCCUGCUUCAGCCUCCCAAGCCACUGGGAUUACAGGCAUGUACUGUCACACCCAGCCAUGAUGAUACUGUAUUUUAAAUGCUACUUUAUAGAGUUCCAAUCAAAGUAGUUGACAAUUUCCACUGUCUCCAGGGAGGUCUCCCCUGCAGGUGAGCACUUUUGGCUUUAGAGACCAUGAUUUCACCAUCUGAGUUAAGAACAGAGCAGUCCAUGCCUGUAACAAAGCGUUUAUGCAAGCAUUUGGUGGUACAGAACAGUAAAAAAACCCCUCAAUAUAAUUCUUCUAAUUGAUUUCAACCACCUCUGCCAAAACUAUGGCUCUCUUCACCAACCUGAACUCUCAGGCACCAUGACUGAUGGGAUAAGAAAAUGGCACUGAAGGUUUGAAGAUGGAAGCAUCUGGAAUGCUCUGAACCAGCUGGAUCCAGGAUCCCUAGAGCAACAAUAACCACAGAAAAAGGAACUCCCUGCACAAGCAAAAUGUGGAAUGAAAGUCUCAAAUGGCUACUUUUGGAGAUAUUUUUCUGGGCACUUGAUUUUUUACUUUUGUCUGUAUACAUUUCGAAUACAAGUUUUCUUAAGGAGGUUUUGGGUUUGUUUUUCUUAUUGUUUGUUUGUUUGUACUGGGGAAUGAACUCAGAAGCCCUUAAAUUCUCAGCCAUAUUCUCAAUCCCUUUUUAAUUUUUUUUAAACAGGGACUUACUAAGUUACUUAAGGCCUCACUAAGCUGAUGAGGUUGACUGAACUCUCAUUCUUUCUACAUCAGCUUCCAGAGCUGGUGGGAUCAGAGGCAGGUGCCACCAUGCCUGGCUUAAGGAGGUUAUGAAGGAAAAACUAAAUAUUAUAGCAUGUUCUUGUUUAGAAUGCAUAAAUUUCAGCAAUCUUCUUUUGUAUGAGACAUAUUAAAUAUUUUUUUUAAUUUUAGGAAAUAUCAAUUUAAUUUUGAUGGAAGCAAAGUGAACAGUCAAAAUCAAUUUUUUUUAGAAAGUUACAUUUAUAUCUAAUGACAUCAAUUUUAUUAGGUAGUUGUAAGUUUUACUUCUUAAAAUCUAACAGUUUAAAAAUUUUUUAGUUUACCAUUGUGUGUGUGUGUGUGUGUGUGGUGCUGGGGAUUGAACCCAGGAUCUCAGACAUGCUAGGCAAGCAUUUUACCACUGAGCUAUACCCCCAGCCCUAGUUCAACCAUUUUGAGAUGGUAACAUUUUAAAAUGUAUGUUUCUUGGCAUACAACGAUAAGGCAUAUUGUGUCAGAAGAAUCACAUUAAGGUUUUUUUUUUCUUUUCUGCUUCCCCAAAUGCUUGCAUAAACCAAAAGAGCAUUUAAUUCUAUAUUGAAUGAUAAUAUUAAUCCAUUACUGUCUCUAUAAUAACCAGCUCUUCCAUUAGGGAACUUGUAAAAUACACUGGCUCAAGUGUGGCCACAAAAUCACUGGCCAUGAUGCUCAGCCCUUUGGGAGCUGCCUAUCUGCCCUUGGUACCUGGAGACACCUGAACUUUCCAAAAUUCUCUACUCAGCCCUCUUAGUACCCUUCAUAAGACCCCUUUCCUCUUUUGUCACAAAUGUGUUGCUAAGAAAUAUUUUAUCACUUUUCAUAAAUCAAUAGAAUGCAAUAUAAAUAAAUAAAUGAGUAAAAACACAAAAUUAUAUAAAUAAAACACAUAGAUAAUCCUUCAGAAGAAAUGUUGAUAUAUUGAGCUUUGUAAAUCACACUUCAGGAAUGAGCAUAAAGUCUGGUAGCAAUACCAGGAAUAUUUAUUGAAGCACACAUUACAUGCAAUCAGAGUAGCAAUACUAAACAUUAAACCUCAUCAGCUAAUUGCUACUGUCUUACAAAACAACUAAUUUAAAUAUGCAAAGAAAGUAGUCUGAAUACACAAGUUAAAUUUUGUACUACCAUUUCAUAAUGACUGCUUAUCAUAUUCUGAGCUGAUAACUUUUAAAAAUUGAAUACAAUGGAAAUAAGUGGAUCCUAAACUAGGAGAUUUUUUUACAACCUUCACAGUACUCACUGCAGGGGAGCCUAAAUCAUAAUGGGUUUCUGUCUCUGCAUAUCAGAAACAUAACAUGCAAGGCCCUGGGGCUUAUUUAAAAUUAUUAAAGUGUUUACUUUGUUAUUAUAAUCUUUACAACUACUGGGAAGUUUAGAUGUUAAGUUGGUAUGAAAAAAGAUCACCCAUGAACAGCCAGGUAAAGGGUCUUGAGGGAAGGAAAAGAGUAAAAGAGACUGGGAAAUCAAAGUUCUGACCCCAGCUACUCAGAGCCACAAGGACAGUUUCAUAACAGCCCCUAGACAUGACCAAUCAUAAAAGGUACUUGUGUUGUCCAAAAAGACCCUCACUCCCACCCUUGUGCUAACAAAGGGUUAGAAAUCGCUUAUCUCCAGAUGUGAAGAAUAAGACAAAACAAAGAAAGUUGACUGGCCAUUUCUGAACUCUAUAAUUCCAUCAAUCAACUACAGGGACAGAUCAAGCCCACGAAAACACCUAGACAACAGACACCUCUUCAUCUUUGGGAGUUCUGCUUUAUUUAUGUUAGUCUAAUAAAUCCUGUUACUUUUCUCUCACCCUUGUGUUCAUGGAUUUCAUUCUAUAACUUGGCAAGAUAAAGAACCCACCUGAUAUUCAUGCUCCUUGUUAUAAUACUGAAGUAAUC
rnacentral:lncRNA from 1 species